rnacentral:rRNA from 1 species
GACGAACGCUGGCGGCGUGCUUAACACAUGCAAGUCGAACGGUAAGGCCCUUCGGGCUACACGAUCGGCGAACGGAGGAGUAACACGUGAGUAAUCUGCCUGUCACUUCCUUAUAACUCCGGGAAACCGGAGCGAAUACCAAAUAAGACCACUUCAUGCAUCAGGUGGUGGUGGAAAGUUUCUUCGGUGAUGGAUGGGCUCGCGGCCCAUCAGCUUGUUGGGGGGGUAGUGGCCUACCAAGGCCUCGACGGGUAGCCGGCCUGGGAGGGUGACCGGCCACAAUGGGACUGAGACACGGCCCAGACUCCUACGGGAGGCAGCAGUGGGGAAUAUUGGACAAUGGGCGAAAGCCUGAUCCAGCAACGCCGCGUGAGGGAUGACGGCCUUCGGGUUGUAAACCUCUUUCGGCAGGGACGAAGCGCAAGUGACGGUACCUACAGAAGAAGCACCGGCCAACUACGUG